GAGGGAAAAGAAAGGGAGGAAGAAAGGAAAUCGCAGCCAUACGGGCUGUGCUCCCCCAGCUGAACUGUCUCUGCAUUUUAGCGGUGGGAGAAAAGACGCUAUAUGGUGAUGUGCUCCUCCCUCCACCCUGCCAAACUCAUCUGUCAGCCAUUAGUUAAUCAGGGCUGGUAAAACAGAGCACAGAAGAGAGCUGGCACAGCUCGUGGGACCAGAGGACAGCUUCACCUCUGAGAGCAAGAAGAGGGCAAGGACUCAGGGACCUCAGCUUCACCGAUCUACAGCUGGGCUGCUUCACUCACCAGCACCCACUCAGGACUGGCAGGCGUCAACCUCAAGAUGACCCCACCCACUGCUUUACUGUGAACAGAUUUAAAUUGAAGCCAUGACAAGAACCGUGCUUGUGAGGACCAGAGGGACCUUCCAGCCACCGCUACUAUUGCUCACACUGGGCUGGCAUAUGUGCAGGAUCAGGAAACACAAGCCUAAUAAUGUCACAAACAUCUGACCCCAGGGUGACAGGUUUGGAGAGUGUUCUCGCCCACUGCCCUCAGGCCAAAGUCAAGUAUGUCAAUGUUGUGCAUGUGGAUUUCAUUUGAAGCAACAUGAUUAGUUCACAGACGUUCAAUUGCCAUCCCCCCCUCCAUGGGAACCCAACUCUUGACAGGAAACGGUAUGUUUUUGUUAGCAACAAACAGGCAUAAAUUACUAAAAUGGUGCCUUGGUUGCCAAUUUAUCACACACAGCCUUAUUGUUGCUGCCUUCACACACUGACUUUGACAUUGCUUUUAAGGUAAUUACCAUUAGUUAAUGAUAUUUACAUUCCUGAUCCAGUUUGUGUUGAACUGUGUCUGCAAUCAUAAAUUUGUCCAAUAAAUGUGAUCAUUGUG